rnacentral:tRNA from 1 species
UCCCUGGCAAUCCAAUGGUUAGGAUUUGGAGCUUUCACUGCCAUAGCCCGGGUUCAAUCCCUGGUCUGGGAA